CUUGACAUCCAGCGAACUUGGCAGAGAUGCCUUGGUGCCUUCGGGAACGCUGAGACAGGUGCUGCAUGGCUGUCGUCAGCUCGUGUUGUGAAAUGUUGGGUUAAGUCCGCAACGAGCGCAACCCUUAUCCUUUGUUGCCAGCGAUUCGGUCGGGAACUCAAAGGAGACUGCCGGUGAUAAACCGGAGGAAGGUGGGGAUGACGUCAAGUCAUCAUGGCCCUUACGAGUAGGGCUACACACGUGCUACAAUGGCGCAUACAAAAAGAAGCGACCUCGCGAGAGCAAGCGGACCUCAUAAAGUGCGUCGUAGUCCGGAUCGGAGUCUGCAACUCGACUCCGUGAAGUCGGAAUCGCUAGUAAUCGUGGAUCAGAAUGCCACGGUGAAUACGUUCCCGGGCCUUGUACACACCGCCCGUCACACCAUGGGAGUGGGUUGCAAAAGAAGUAGGUAGCUUAACCUUCGGGAGGGCGCUUACCACUUUGUGAUUCAUGACUGGGGUGAAGUCGUAACAAGGUAAGCGUAGCGAG
rnacentral:rRNA from 1 species